AUACAUGCAAGUCGAGCGAACAGAUGAGAAGCUUGCUUCUCUGAUGUUAGCGGCGGACGGGUGAGUAACACGUGGGUAACCUACCUAUAAGACUGGGAUAACUCCGGGAAACCGGGGCUAAUACCGGAUAAUAUUUUGAACCGCAUGGUUCAAUAGUGAAAGACGGUUUCGGCUGUCACUUAUAGAUGGACCCGCGCCGUAUUAGCUAGUUGGUAAGGUAAUGGCUUACCAAGGCGACGAUACGUAGCCGACCUGAGAGGGUGAUCGGCCACACUGGAACUGAGACACGGUCCAGACUCCUACGGGAGGCAGCAGUAGGGAAUCUUCCGCAAUGGGCGAAAGCCUGACGGAGCAACGCCGCGUGAGUGAUGAAGGUCUUCGGAUCGUAAAACUCUGUUGUUAGGGAAGAACAAAUUUGUUAGUAACUGAACAAGUCUUGACGGUACCUAACCAGAAAGCCACGGCUAACUACGUGCCAGCAGCCGCGGUAAUACGUAGGUGGCAAGCGUUAUCCGGAAUUAUUGGGCGUAAAGCGCGCGUAGGCGGUUUCUUAAGUCUGAUGUGAAAGCCCACGGCUCAACCGUGGAGGGUCAUUGGAAACUGGGAAACUUGAGUGCAGAAGAGGAGAGUGGAAUUCCAUGUGUAGCGGUGAAAUGCGCAGAGAUAUGGAGGAACACCAGUGGCGAAGGCGGCUCUCUGGUCUGUAACUGACGCUGAUGUGCGAAAGCGUGGGGAUCAAACAGGAUUAGAUACCCUGGUAGUCCACGCCGUAAACGAUGAGUGCUAAGUGUUAGGGGGUUUCCGCCCCUUAGUGCUGCAGCUAACGCAUUAAGCACUCCGCCUGGGGAGUACGACCGCAAGGUUGAAACUCAAAGGAAUUGACGGGGACCCGCACAAGCGGUGGAGCAUGUGGUUUAAUUCGAAGCAACGCGAAGAACCUUACCAAAUCUUGACAUCCUUUGACCGCUCUAGAGAUAGAGUCUUCCCCUUCGGGGGACAAAGUGACAGGUGGUGCAUGGUUGUCGUCAGCUCGUGUCGUGAGAUGUUGGGUUAAGUCCCGCAACGAGCGCAACCCUUAAGCUUAGUUGCCAUCAUUAAGUUGGGCACUCUAGGUUGACUGCCGGUGACAAACCGGAGGAAGGUGGGGAUGACGUCAAAUCAUCAUGCCCCUUAUGAUUUGGGCUACACACGUGCUACAAUGGAUAAUACAAAGGGCAGCGAAUCCGCGAGGCCAAGCAAAUCCCAUAAAAUUAUUCUCAGUUCGGAUUGUAGUCUGCAACUCGACUACAUGAAGCUGGAAUCGCUAGUAAUCGUAGAUCAGCAUGCUACGGUGAAUACGUUCCCGGGUCUUGUACACACCGCCCGUCACACCACGAGAGUUUGUAACACCCGAAGCCGGUGGAGUAACCUUUUAGGAGCUAGCC
rnacentral:rRNA from 2 species